UGAAUCCAUGCUUCACCUUCAGUCCCACGUUCUAGAACUCCCAAUUGCACACAGUUUCAUAAAAGCUUCACAUCAUACUGUGAAGGGUGUGUUUUCACAAUGCCAGGCAGCUCACCGGUCACAUUUCUUAGUGCAGAAUGAAUGCAGUAUUGUGUUGGCUUUUGUGUUACAAACUCUCGAAACACAAUCCUGCAACAAUGGUUGGGUGAUGAAAACCCUAAAGCUCCUCUUUCCACCCCAUUCCCCUCCUCAAAUUCCAUGAAUCUUGCACUACCAAGUUGCAGAACCUUAAAUCCUAAUUCCUCAGUUGUUUGCAGUUUGAGAGCUCAGUGUGAUGGGAUGCCUGGUGAGGAAGCUCUCUUUCAUGUUUGCAACUCUCGUUUGCUUUCAAGACAUUCUCCAUUUCGAGACACAUUUUUGAUUGCACAUGCUCUUGUACCCUCCAUAGCCUGCCAAAGCCAAACCGGCGUCAGAUUUCGUAGGCUACUUGGAUUGCGGAACAGGGGGAAGGAUUUGUCAGGUGUGUGGGUACUUAGCCAUGCGUCACACAAGCUGUAUAUAUGAGUAUUAUAUGCCUGUUGCCGAUGUCUCCACUUUGGUCUCUGUGUGCGAAUGCCUUUGCAAAUUGUUUGAGCUUCGUUUCUGAGCAGUUGUCUGCAGGUUAGGCUUUUUGGGUUCAGUGCUGAAGUUGGAGUCAUUUGUGAACCACCACCUACCUGUGUCUGGGAUCGUUGCAAAUGAACAUGGUUCUAGGCGUAAGUUGUCGAUUGUGGAGGAAUGGCUCGAAUGGAUGACGUGUGUGGCAUGAGGUUUCGCAUUCUUCUGUGUGGUAGUUGAUACAUGUGCAGCGUCGAAGAUGAAUGCAAGGUUGGGUCCCACCCGCUGCGUAGCUGAGUUUAUGCACCUGGUCGCUCCUCGUGGGCAUGAGCAUCUUCUGUUCUGGUAGGUCUUCUAUGUUGUGCUGUCUCCGGCUCAUAUUGAUGUUGCGCUGCGAUUGUGGUGUGGGUUCCGAGACUUCAGAAAUGAGGGGUGUUUAAUGUUGUACGUUGAGACAGAUUCUUUAGUGGUUAAAUUAUUUUUCAGAUAUCGAAUAAUCUCAAGACCUUAAGCUAAAAGCUACCAAAAAGAGGUUGUAGACAUGUUGUGGCGAUUUUUAGACAUAGAGGGGCUUGUACUAGUUUGGUGUUGGUUUUUAAACUUCGUGCCUGUAAUCCAAGCCGCUUGUACUGGUCACUGUAACUCCACCUACCCUUUUUCUCUCCAAUUUACCUUAAUUUAAUUUUCUCCUGAAGUCGGUGUACAAGGAGCAUGAAAAGUAGGCGUAUAGUCUGUGUAAUCACGCAACACUGGUUCGCUAAGUUUUCGAUCCUACGAACUUUAUUCAUGAAUCCUACCACAAAUGAUGCAGUUGAAUUCUUUUCAUCGGUAUUUCAUGCAUCUUCGUGGGCUGGAGACCUAUGUUUUAGCUCGAUUUUGUGGCAAAAUAGAUCAAUCCGACAGUUAGGAAGGGGGAGAUUAGGGACUGGAGCAGUGCACAACACGCGACCGGUAACAACAGAGUUUCGUACAUUGGAGGUCCAUUCUCUUUGAGUCACUUCUAACUAAAGGAAUUUUCGAUUAUAUUGUAACUUGAGGAUAUUGGUAAUUUCUAUCUGUCACCCAAUAUGCUGAAUCUGCAAAUGGGACUGUAUUAACUCCACCUUCAAGAGCUCAUUGCCAGAUGAGAACGAGAGAGCGGUACCAUUCAAUUAUUCAGAGCUUGAAUAAUUACCAGAAGAAAAACCCAGAGUAUAAUGACCAUCCAAACCCUUGGAAGGAGAUGAUGGAGCUCAUGUACAGCAAAAAUCAAUUGGGUGUUCAGAAGCAGGGCCUACAAGGCUGGAUAGUGACCUUUUAGAUUGUUCUUUUGGGGAGGACGAUCCUUCGGUGAAACGAAAAUUGUGUAUAUUAUGGACACGUUAGACGGGAUUCAGUACAGCCUGUAUAUUGGUGCGUUUAGAGAGUUCAACGCAGGCACCAGCAUUCGGGCUAUUUUGGCUACUUUGGUGGUGGUAUCAGAAAAUGAGGAGCACUCUCCGUUUGCAGCGAAAGGAAGUUUCCAGUUUUACUUUAAGAAUUAAAGCCAUUCUUGUCAUCAGUCGUACGAUCUCAGUAUCUGGUCGGUGCAGCAGUUGUGUAGACACAGUAGCAGAAUUUUGAGAGCCUGCGGAAGAAACAAACAACCGUGAAAGAUGGAGAGGUGCUCUACUUGGCAGAUACUUUACAAUCACUUCUAAUUACCUUCUUUCAUAUUUCGAGAGCUGCUCCAUGUUUCCUUGGAACCCCGAAACAUGAUUGACGGAGGGCCGUUUCAGAAUAACUCGAGUAUACUGUUUCACUUUCUGACGUCAAGUGUUGAACUUCAAGAACCAAAGAUUGGUUGCGACAAUCCAUGGAUUCGCUGACAACGACACUUUUCCAUACACAACAACUCAACUACGUUCUGACCAGAAGAAUAACCUGGACAAGUCGAAGAAACGGGGGAAAGUCAGACCAAUUGCGGCCUCUGAUGAGCAUCAUGAAGAGCCAAGACGCACAGAUUCUCAAGUUUUUUUUCAGUCCUAAUCAGACAUCGAUUAUAACCCUUCAGGAUAGCACAUCCUUAAUCUAAACCACGUACUUGAACUGAACCAUAGUUACGUGCAGAGAUUUAGAUCUGUUAGAGUUUAGUAGACUCUCCUACGACUUGCUGAACUUGAGUCGAAGGCACAUUUGUCAACAGAUUGUCUUCUCGACAUUCGCUGUGAUGUUUCCGGAUCUAAACAAAAGAAGAGGUCGUGAUUUUGUCCACAUGGUGGAACAUGGACUACCUGCCACGGUUGCGCUGAAAACCAUCUCCGGGUAAAGAUUAAGUUCCUAGUUAAUUCCUAAUGUCAUGUACAUGGUGUUGCAUUCCCUACCCGCGUGUCAUCUCUACCAGCUGUGGUUCGGGUGGAUAACAUUAAAACAGUAUCCAAUACAGAAGUUAAAGUGAGCUGAUUUCUUCCUUCUUCAAUAAUGCUCUUCGGACUCUCCGAAACAGUGAAGUUUCGUUGUAAUUUCCAUACAGAUCAAUGUUGAAAGCUUCGAUGGCAUUAGCUUUACCAUUU